AACGAACGCUGGCGGCAUGCCUAACACAUGCAAGUCGAACGAAGCCUUCGGGCUUAGUGGCGCACGGGUGCGUAACGCGUGGGAAUCUGCCCUUAGGUACGGAAUAACUCAUGGAAACGUGUGUCUAAUACCGUAUGAUGUCUUCGGACCAAAGAUUUAUCGCCUAGGGAUGAGCCCGCGUUGGAUUAGCUAGUUGGGUGAGGUAAAGGCUCACCAAGGCGACGGAUCCAUAGCUGGUCUGAGAGGAUGAUCAGCCACACUGGGACUGAGACACGGCCCAGACUCCUACGGGAGGCAGCAGUGGGGAAUAUUGGACAAUGGGCGAAAGCCUGAUCCAGCAAUGCCGCGUGAGUGAAGAAGGCCUUCGGGUUGUAAAGCUCUUUUACCCGGGAAGAUAAUGACUGUACCGGGAGAAUAAGCCCCGGCUAACUCCGUG
rnacentral:rRNA from 1 species